GUGAGGGGCAAUGCUUCUGGGGUAAUGUGAGAAGAAGGAUGACAAUAACUCCUGCCUAACUGGGUCUAGAUUACAAUUAUUAUAUUCAUGUGGGGCAAAAAAGAAAGCAUGUGGGGGCUGGUGGUGGGGGCAGUGGCAGUGGUGGUGGUGGUGGAGUUGCCAAUGCCAGCCAUCAAUAGUCCAUGACUCUUCUCCAAUCCUACUCUGUGCCUUCACUGCUCAAUUGUCCAAUACUCU
rnacentral:misc_RNA from 1 species